rnacentral:sRNA from 1 species
UUUUUUUUGCGGGAAAAAGGUAUUGCGGAAUUUGUUUUUUGCGGAAAAAAUAACUUUUUUGGUGUCAAAAAUUUAGCGGAAAAAUUUCAGUUUUCAAUUACAUGUUUCUAUUAGAUGAAGGUAAUUUGGUCAUUCUGUUCAAAGGAAGAGGUAUUUUUAAAAAUGGACAACAUAAAAGGGUAUUGCUUCAAAAGGGUAGUAAAAAAAAGAUAGUUUUGCAAAUCUUCCAAAUAAAACUGUUUAUAUGUCAUAUUAAACAAAUUUACUGUUUAUAUU